rnacentral:lncRNA from 1 species
UUUUUUUUUUUUUGGUUUUUUUUUUGCCUUUUCUAGGGCCGCUCCCUCGGCAUAUGGAGGUUCCCAGGCUAGGGGUCGAAUCGGAGCUGCAGCCACCAGCCUACGCCACAGCCACAGCAACACGGGAUCCGAGCCACAGCUGCAACCUACACCACAGCUCAUGGCAAUGCCAGAUCCUUUACCCGCUGACAAGGCCAGGGAUCGAACCCACAACCUUAUGGUUCCUAGUUGGAUUCAUUAACCACUGAGCCAUGAUGGGAACUCCUGUAGUUUCUGAAAACUUUAAUGCUCUUUAGUAUUCUCAACAUUUGUAUCCAUAGAAAGAUAUAUUAAGACAUGAAAUAUCAGUUGAACAAUGAGUAAGAAAUUCCAGGUCACCCAGCACUUUGAUUUAUGACAGGAGACUUUCAGAAAUCACCUUUAAACAUUUAGGUUUAAAAAAUACUAUUUCAUCGGACUUCCCAUGUGGCUCACAACAAAAAAUACUAUUUCAUGUAAAAUUCCAAAGAUUCAAUAAAACCAUUGAUCAAGAACUGGCCUGUAUACUGGAAUAAUAUAAAAGUAUUGAUUCUAAAAAUGAUAAAGCAUGAUUUUAACUGAUUAUUUAUGGAACGGCUUAAAACAGGGAAAGCGAUUCCAUAUACCAGCCGUGAGAUUCAUUUUCAAGCAGGUCCGAAAUGUGAACGGCUGAAUUUACUGGGAGGAGUAUCUCGUCAUGGAAAUGCUGGAGCACCCAUUUUGGCUCAGCAGUAACCCCUGACGAUGCAGGUUUGAUUCCUGGCCUUGCUCAGUGGGUUAAGGAUCUGGUGUUGCUGUGAACUGUGGUGUAGCCCACACAUGGCAGCUCGGAUCUGGCAUUGCUAUAGCUCCUAUUUGACCCCUAGUCUGGGAACCUCCCUGUGCCACACCUGCAGCCCUAAAAAGACACACACAAAAAAGUGUUUAUAUUAAGUCUCAUUUUACUGAAUUCAGAGUUUAAGGGGGGAAAUUAAAAAAAAUCACAUGGAAUUUUGAAUGCCAAGAUAAGGAAGUGGGCUCAGGAAAUUGUCUUGCCUGAGGCUCUAAUGAGGAAUGACGGGCUUUAAAUGAGAAUCCAAGUUAUACAAGAAUCCCGAGGAUCCCAACUGAGCUAUGAGGAGGGUAGAGCGGUACCCUUGUUAAUCUCCCAUGACAUGAGAAGCAACUUUGGAACCUUCCUGUACCUUAAAUCGUGAUGGGUUUCUUUGCUCUCCGCCCUCAAGAAUAAAAUAUUUUUUCAUCACUGUUCAGUGGGUUGAGCUGAACAGCUCUGCUCUUCUCAGAGCUGGAUUAAGAAUCAGACAGCUCUUUGCAGCAACAUGAAUGGACUUAUAGAUGAGCAUACCAAGUGAAGUAAGUCAGACAGAGAAAGAAUAUCAUAUGAGAUCCCUAAUAUGUGGACGCUAAUAAAAAUGAUACAAAAAACCCAUUCACAAAAAAGAAACAGAGUCAAAGAUUUUGAAACCAAACUUAUGGUUUUUCCAAAGGGGAAAAGCAGGGGGAGGAACAAAUUAUGAGUUUGGGAUUAACAGAUACACACAACUACAUAUGAAAUAGAUAAUUAACAAGGACCUACUAUCUAGCACAGGGGAAUCUACUCGAUAAUGAGCAAUAAUCUAUAUGGGAAAAGAAUCUGAAAAGGAAUGGAUAUAUGUAUAUGUAGGCCUGAUUCCCUUUGCUGUACACCUGAAAUUAACACAACACUGUAAAUCAACUCCAAUAACUUUCUUCUUUCCUUUUUUUGCUUUUUAGGGCCAUACCUGCAGCAUAUGGAAGUUCCCAGGUUAGGGGUCAAAUGGGAGCUGUAGCCACCAGCCUACACCACAGCCACAGGAAUGCAGGAUCUGAGCCAAGUCUGCAGCCUACACCACAGCUCAUGGCAAUGCCAGAUCCUUAACCCACUGAGCGAGGCCAGGGAUCAAACCUGCACCCUCAUGAUACUAGUCAGAUUCAUUUCUGCUGCACCACAAUGGGAACGCCCCCAAUAAAUAUUUUUAAAAGGAAUCAGGCAGAAACUUAUUAGCUUUGGUUCCACGUAGAUGGGGUCUCCUCCUUGCUAGAUAAGGCACUUUGAGGUAAUUCAAAGAAGUCAUACUUUGAGUGAACUGCCUUUUCUGCCAGCACCACUAAUUGGCAAAAGCUGCUUUUACAUGUUGAAAAACCAAUGCCGAAUAAAUCUUCAAGUGUUGAGAUCCUAGGUCAAAUGGGUUUGGGAUAUUCAUCAAUGAUGGAAUAGUUUAGAGGGUUUCUCUUCAUCAAAUAGUUCCACUUUUAAGAAAUUAUCAUUGUUUCAGUGUUGUCUAGAGUUUGCUAUUUUUGGUAAAAUGCUCAUACUCAGUGGCCAUGCUCUAUCAAAGGAGAUGUGAUUUUCAAGCAUUUUUUGUAAAGACUCAUUUGCUUCAGGCAUUACACUACCUCAUAAAUGCAAGAGGAGGCGUUCUCUUGUGGCUCAGUGGGUUAAGGAUCUGGUGUUGUCACUGCAGCAGCUCAGGGUGUUGUUGUGGUACGGGUUCAUUCCCUGGCCUGGGAACAUGCACCUGCCGUGCGUGCAGCCAAAAAAGAAAGAAAAAGUAAAAAAAAAAAAAAAAUGCAACAGAACAAUGACCUUAUCCUGCGAAUGGUUGCCCUUUUGUCUAUUUCAAAGUUUCCCAGCAAAACGAGGGAAUGCAAUAGUGAGAAAGAGCUCAGUAUUGACAGAGUCACGUCAUUUGUUAAGUGUGAGGAAGGAUAAGAACUUGCAAAUGAAGUGAUGUUUACGGCACCCUUGGUAGUGGAAACAGACUCUGGCUGAACAUAACACAUAGGCUUCCUGAUAAAGACGAGGUCAGUCUUCUGCUGCUAAACAAUAAUUUCUCACACUGUGUGCACAGUUGCACUAGCAAAACAGAAAAAAAAAAAAACAAGAGAAAGAUUAGGGAAAUACUUUGACAUAUGAUUUUAGGGUCAAUAGGUCUAACCAUCGAUUCUCCAAUAUAACUCAAAAUAAAACAGGAUGAAGGGCAAACUACUAAAGACACAGAAGCAGCCUUGAGAAGAAGGCCAUUGUCCCAUGUGGUCGAUUUUGUUUGGAAACCAACUAAUAUAAAUAUUUUUGACUAAACCAAAAAAGUAGACAAUCCUGAAACAGUCACCGUAAGUCUGGGCUCUAAAAUGAGUUCUGAUCACCUCGUUAAGGAUAAAUAGCUUGUAAGGUAAAUUUGAGGAAGCUCUAUACCAUCUAUUUGGCCAGUCUGGAAUUCAGAGGGUAACUAGUGGAUGGAAUUUUCUAGUUCAAUCCAGUGAGUGCCAUCUUCCCUCCUGGUAUAUGCUGCUGAAAUUACAGUCAUAUUAUAAAAGAUAAAUACCAACCUCAUGGCAGGAUCCGAAUGAUGAAAGGGUACCCCAAACUUCCCAGAACAUUUUUUUUUUGUCUUUUUGCUAUUUCUUUGGGCCGCUUCUCUGGCAUAUGGAGGUUCCCAGGCCAGGGGUCGAAUCGGAGCUGUAGCCACUGGCCUACGCCAGAGCCACAGCAACGCGGGAUCCGAGCCGCGUCUGCAACCUACACCACAGCUCACAGCAGCGCCGGAUCGUUAACCCACUGAGCAAGGGCAGGGACCGAACCCGCAACCUCAUGGUUCCUAGUCGGACUCGUUAACCACUGCGCCACCACGGGAACUCCCCCAGAACAUUUUUAAAUGGCAAUGAGACUCUAUGGGUAGAAAAAUGGUAACUGAACCUAGGAAAGUGAUGUGUGGGGGACCCAGAGAUUCUAUGCAGCUAGAAUUGGGGGAAGGGGACAGGCAAUGCAUGGAGGUCGACCAGAUAGCCGCUCACCCCAGUGGGGUUAUGGAGCAGCUGCAGCAGACCUGCUCUGUAAUUAGGGGGAGAUGUCCAUAGAAGAGCCCUUACUUAAUUCAGAUGUGGAUGCAAAAACCAAGAUGACAGGAGAUCACCCUAUGACACUAAAUUAAAUUGAAGGCAUGUUAACCACGGAGUGAAAUACACAGGGUCUUCACCUCCCAGAAUGAAGUCACCUUUCUUUUGCUCUUAGUAGGAGUGCCUCGGGACCUCCACGUGCCCCCCUCAGAAACAUCAGCCUGCCCGAUGGGACCUGUGAUUCCCCACAUUCACGAAGGACGUCCUUUUGAAACAGAGCCAAAAGGGAACACAGCCACUGCAACCACCCCAGGAACCCACCUUUCACUCAGUAAUAGAAGCCAUUAAACGAAGACGACCAGCUAGGGAGUUCCCCUGUGGCUCACUGGGUUAAGGACCUGGCAUUGUCCUGCAUUGGCUCGGUUCACUGCAGUGGUGCAGGUUCGAUCCCUGGUUCGGGAACUUCUACAUGCCAUAGGUGCACCCCCCCAAAAAAAAGACAAGCUAGUAAGAAAACAAAUAAAUGGAAUAAAAAUACACCCAAGUCAUUCUCAAGAUGGCAAAGAACAUUUAAAGUCAUACAAAACAGGUGGUCCCCGUCAUGGCUCAGUGGGUAACGAAUCCGACUAGGAACCACGAGGUGGUAGGUUCGAUCCCUGGCCUUGCUCGGUGGGUUAAGGAUCUGGCAUUGCCGUGAGCUGUGGUGUAGGUCACAGACGUGGCUCCAAUCCCUCGUUGCUGUGGCUGUGACAUAGGCCAAUGGCUAUAGCUCCGAUUCGACCCCUAGCCUGGGAACUUCCAUAUGCCCAGGUGUGGCCCUAGAAAAGACAAAAAAAAUCACAACAUUAAAAAAAAAUACAAAACAGGUGUAACAGACGAAAUAAAAUCCUCUAAAAAUUUCAUUCAGGGAGAACCCUAAGGAUGUUCCAUAGAAAAACGACAAAGUGAUUUAAACAACGGAACGGUGGCCAAGAGCUACCAGAUAGUUCAUAUAAAGUCUCAUAACAGAACAGCAGCCAAAGAUUUAUGAUCCAUAGGGUAAAAAUGAGUAAAUAUCUCAGAACACGGAAAAGAACAUGUGUGUGUAUAUAUGUUUAUUUGUGUGUGUAUAUGUUUAUACGUUUAUAUAGAUAUAAACAUACACACACACAUAUAUGAACAUACAUACACACGGCUACUGUGGUCUCUCUUAACUGGACCACUCUGCUAUGGUCUCUGGGUUAAGAGAGACCACAGCUGUAGAGCGAGGAGCUUAGGGUCUGUUCAGUUAUAGAAACUCGUCGAUCCAUGCACUGUUGACAACAGGACAUUCUUGAGGUGCACACCAGCUCUUACGAGGUGUCUGCUCCCCCAGAUACUCACUCCAAGUUCUGAAGGGUUUCCAAGGACGCAUGAGAAGAUGGAGGUGAGGGAAGUUACCCGUUCUAACAACGGUGAGGAUGGAGGAAGAAUCUUAAGGAAGAAACAGAGCUCCCUGCCUCUCCCAGUGAGGCCCAAUGGGUUCACACCAGCCCCUCUCUUUUUUAAGAGUCUCGGUUCAUGUCUCCUCCCAUGCUGAUGAGUGAUUCUGAAAACAGGAUUUGCUACCCUCAGUGCCAAAGGCUCAUCUCACAGAAGCACAGUGAGACAGAGCAUGCUUGCAUGGACAUCGUUCUUUCUUUUUUUGCCUUUUUUCCAUAUGCAUCCUCGACAUAUGGAGGUUCCUUGGUUAGGGGUCGACAGCUGCAGACCGCUGAAGACAGCUGCAGACAGCUGUAGCUACCUGCCAACACCACAGCCACAGCAAUACCAGAUCCAAGCUGCAUCUGCAACUUAUACCACAGCUUGCGGCAAUGCUGGAUCCUCAACCCACUGAGCAAAGUCAAGGACUG